AUUGAACGCUGGCGGCAUGCCUUACACAUGCAAGUCGAACGGCAGCACGGGAGCUUGCUCCUGGUGGCGAGUGGCGAACGGGUGAGUAAUACAUCGGAACGUACCCUGAAGUGGGGGAUAACGUAGCGAAAGUUACGCUAAUACCGCAUAUUCUGUGAGCAGGAAAGAGGGGGGAUCGCAAGACCUCUUGCUUUAGGAGCGGCCGAUGUCGGAUUAGCUAGUUGGUGAGGUAAAGGCUCACCAAGGCGACGAUCCGUAGCGGGUCUGAGAGGAUGAUCCGCCACACUGGGACUGAGACACGGCCCAGACUCCUACGGGAGGCAGCAGUGGGGAAUUUUGGACAAUGGGCGCAAGCCUGAUCCAGCCAUGCCGCGUGAGUGAAGAAGGCC
rnacentral:rRNA from 1 species